UACGUAGGCAGCGAGCGUUGUUCGGAGUUACUGGGCGUAAAGGGUGUGUAGGCGGUUCUUUAAGUUUGGGGUGAAAUCUCCCGGCUCAACCGGGAGGGUGCGCCGAAUACUGAGGGACUAGAGUAUGGGAUGGGAAAGUGGAAUUCCUGGUGUAGCGGUGAAAUGCGUAGAUAUCAGGAGGAACACCUGUGGUGUAGACGGCUUUCUGGACCAUAACUGACGCUGAGACACGAAAGCGUGGGUAGCAAACAGG
rnacentral:rRNA from 1 species